rnacentral:sRNA from 12 species
GACCUAACCUCCGCCGACUGGCGGAGCAGGGUUAAAAAACUCAUGGACGAUACUGAACCCCGUGUUCAGCACUCGUCCAUGAGUCAUAGCUCGAAAGGGCUAUGGGCCGCAAGGCC